rnacentral:rRNA from 1 species
UACGAAGGGGGCUAGCGUUGCUCGGAAUUACUGGGCGUAAAGGGCGCGUAGGCGGAUAGUUCAGUCGGGGGUGAAAGCCCGGGGCUCAACCUCGGAACUGCCUUCGAUACUGGCUAUCUUGAGUACGGGAGAGGUGUGUGGAACUCCGAGUGUAGAGGUGAAAUUCGUAGAUAUUCGGAAGAACACCAGUGGCGAAGGCGACACACUGGCCCGUUACUGACGCUGAGGCGCGAAAGCGUGGGGAGCAAACAG